CUCCUGCCGGGGCUCUGCAGGGACUGGUGCUCCCCCAGGGAGCUGGGGGGUACGGACCCUCCUGGCUGGUUGUGCUCUGCUUUGUGGAAUUCCUUUAAUUCCUGUGAAAACAAGUUCAGCUCUUUCCUGCAAAAUUCUGUGCAGGGAGAGCCCAUGCUCAUGCUCUAACCAAUGGAGAAAUGGUUGGGAAGGAUUUUCCCCAUCCAGCUCUUGCUUUCCCACCGCUUUACCUUGGGAGCGACUCCAGGAGGAGCCCUGGGGUUUCCCUUCAGCAAAGGGCUGGUUACACAAGCCUGCGCUGGAGCCCAUCCAUCUAAGCAAGAACCGCUGCUUGCAGUGCUGGGCUGAGCACCAGAGAGAAGGCUGAGGCUGAGGCUCUUCCAAAUCCCUUUUCAGCUGCUGUAAAGCCUCCAGGGUCUUACACCCCGCUGCAGGGGUGAUAUUCCAUGUGAGGAGGUGGCCAUGGGGCACCCUGCUCCUCACUCAGAAAAGGGAGGGACCUGCCAGAAAGGUCUUAAAACAUGAUAUUGAUGAUUGU